ACUGGUUGAUCCUGCCAGACCGGAUUGCUAUCGGGAUGGGACUAAGCCAUGCAAGUCUAAAUGGUACUUCAUGCCUGUACCAUUGGCAAAUCGCUCAGUAACACGUAGUUAAUCUACCCUAUGGAGGGGCAUACCCUCGGGAAACUGAGGCUAAUUCCCCAUAGGCCACGCGGACUGGAAUGUUGCGUGACCCAAAGGACCUGUGAGGCCAUGAAAUCAGGCUCGCCAUAGGAUGAGACUGCGGCGGAUUAUGGUUGUUGGUGGGGUAACGGCCCACCAAGCCUUUGAUCCGUACGGGCCGUGAGAGCGGGAGCCCGGAGAUGGGAACUGAGAUACUGUCCCAAGCCCUACGGGGCGCAGCAGGCGCGAAACCUCCGCAAUGCACGCAAGUGUGACGGGGCCAUCCCGAGUGCCUUCGGGCUUUUCUACAGUGUAAGAAGCUGUAGGAAUAAGGGGAGGGCAAGGCUGACUGGAUUGAGGAACUAAAUCUGAACGAUUAAAAAACCUCAUUCAGGCCUAAGUGCCAGCCGCCGCGGUAAAACCAGCUCCUCAAGUGAUCCGGACUUUUACUGGGCCUAAAGCGUCCGUAGCCGGGUCUGCAAGUCUUCGGUUAAAUCCGGCAGCUCAACUGUCGGCCCGCUGGAGAUACUACAGACCUUGGAGGCGGGAGAGGUAGAGGGUACUCCUAGGGUAGGGGUGAAAUCCGUUAAUCCUAGGGGGACCACCAGUGGCGAAGGCGCUCUACUGGAACGCGCUCGACGGUGAGGGACGAAAGCCAGGGGAGCGAACCGGAUUAGAUACAUGCUUGUAUCUCACAACACGCUAAAUACCCGGGUAGUCCUGUGCUGUAAACGAUGCGGGCUAGGUGUUGGUCCAGCCACGAGCUGGGUCAGUGCCGUAGGGAAGCCGCUAAGCCCGCCGCCUGGGGAGUACGGUCGCAAGGCUGAAAUCAGGUACAAUUGAUUUUGGCCUGACAGAAAACUUAAAGGAAUUGGCGGGGGAGCACCACAAGGGGUGAAGCCUGCGGUUUAAUUGGACUCAACGCCGUGAAGCUUACCAGGGGCGACGACAGAAUGAAGGUCAGGCUGACGACCUUACUAGACAAGUCGAGAGGAGGUGCAUGGCCGUCGUCAGUUCGUGCCGUGAGGUGUCCUGUUAAGUCAGGCAACGAACGAAACCCACGCCCACAGUUGCGA
rnacentral:rRNA from 1 species